rnacentral:rRNA from 1 species
AUUGAACGCUGGCGGCAGGCUUAACACAUGCAAGUCGUGCGGUAACAGGAGAAGCUUGCUUCUCGCUGACGAGCGGCGGACGGGUGAGUAAUACUUAGGAAUCUACCUAGUAGUGGGGGAUAGCUCGGGGAAACUCGAAUUAAUACCGCAUACGACCUACGGGAGAAAGGGGGCAACUGGUUGCUCUCGCUAUUAGAUGAGCCUAAGUCGGAUUAGCUAGAUGGUGGGGUAAAGGCCUACCAUGGCGACGAUCUGCAGCUGGUCUGAGAGGAUGAUCAGCCACACCGGGACAGAGACACGGCCCGGACUCCUACGGGAGGCGGCAGUGGGGAAUAUUGGACAAUGGGGGCAACCCUGAUCCAGCCAUGCCGCGUGUGUGAAGAAGGCCUUUUGGUUGUAAAGCACUUUAAGCAGUGAAGAAGACUCUAGGGUUAAUACCCUUAGACGAUGACAUUAGCUGCAGAAUAAGCACCGGCUAACUCUGUGCCAGCCGCCGCCGUAA